AAAAGAAAUUACAAUGCUAUUCCGAUUUUGUUACAAAUAUGGUCGGAAAUGAAUAGUUGAACUGUAUAACAAUUAUAGACUUUGUAUGCGGUUAAUAUACGAUAUAUCGAUCCAAAUAAGUACUAGUAAAUGGACUUCUAAUCUUAAUACAUCCUCAGAUGAUAUCCUUCUUUCAGACCAAUAUAUCCUCGUAUCGACAUCAUACAAAGGCUAUCAUUGUAGAAUAUUGUCAUUUGGCAUUUGUUUUCAUUUUUUAAAUAGCUAAGAAAUUGUAUGUACAUAGUGACUCAUAAGGCUGGAUAUUUGUCUUAUGCUAUUACUGUACAAUGUAUUUUAUAUAAUUUGUAUAUAACUUUGUAGACAAAUGUGUGCCAGUUUUUAGAUUAAAAAUUAUAAAUGUAAAUUGAUAUACAAAUAUAAGAAGCAGGGUAAGAGUGCCAAUGAGGCAACUCUCCAUCCAAGUCAUCAAAGUCACAAUGUGUAAAAAGUAAACUAUUAUAGGUCGAAGUACGGUCUACAACACGGA
rnacentral:lncRNA from 1 species